rnacentral:rRNA from 1 species
UGGGGAAUAUUGCACAAUGGGCGCAAGCCUGAUGCAGCCAUGCCGCGUGUAUGAAGAAGGCCUUCGGGUUAUAAAGUACUUUCAGCGGGGAGGAAGGCGAUAAGGUUAAUAACCUUGUCGAUUGACGUUACCCGCAGAAGAAGCACCGGCUAACUCCGUGCCAGCAGCCGCGGUAAUACGGAGGGUGCAAGCGUUAAUCGGAAUUACUGGGCGUAAAGCGCACGCAGGCGGUCUGUCAAGUCGGAUGUGAAAUCCCCGGGCUCAACCUGGGAACUGCAUUCGAAACUGGCAGGCUAGAGUCUUGUAGAGGGGGGUAGAAUUCCAGGUGUAGCGGUGAAAUGCGUAGAGAUCUGGAGGAAUACCGGUGGCGAAGGCGGCCCCCUGGACAAAGACUGACGCUCAGGUGCGAAAGCGUGGGGAGCAAACA